GGCAGGGUAGCUCAGAUGGUCAGAGCGUCGGACUCAUAACCCGAAGGCCGAGGGUUCAAUUCCCUCCCCUGCCACCA
rnacentral:tRNA from 1 species